rnacentral:tRNA from 1 species
GGAGAGGUGGGUGAGUGGCUUAAACCAUGCCCCUGCUAAGGGCACGUACUCCAAAAGGGUACCGAGGGUUCAAAUCCCUCCCUCUCCGCCA